rnacentral:rRNA from 1 species
UACUGAGUUACCGCUCUACAACCCUUUGUGAACAUACCUAACCGUUGCUUCGGCGGGCAGGGGAAGCCUCUCGCGGGCCUCCCCUCCCGGCGCCGGCCCCACCACGGGGACGGGGCGCCCGCCGGAGGAAACCAAACUCUAUUUACACGACGUCUCUUCUGAGUGGCACAAGCAAAUAAUUAAAACUUUUAACAACGGAUCUCUUGGUUCUGGCAUCGAUGAAGAACGCAGCGAAAUGCGAUAAGUAAUGUGAAUUGCAGAAUUCAGUGAAUCAUCGAAUCUUUGAACGCACAUUGCGCUCGCCAGCAUUCUGGCGAGCAUGCCUGUUCGAGCGUCAUUUCAACCCUCAAGCACCGCUUGGUUUUGGGGCCCCACGGCAGACGUGGGCCCUUAAAGGUAGUGGCGGACCCUCCCGGAGCCUCCUUUGCGUAGUAACUAACGUCUCGCACUGGGAUCCGGAGGGACUCUUGCCGUAAAACCCCCAAAUUCUUUACAGGUUGACCUCGGAUCAGGUAGGAAUACCCGCUGAACUUAAGCAUAUCAAUA